rnacentral:rRNA from 1 species
AUUGAACGCUGGCGGCAGGCUUAACACAUGCAAGUCGAACGAGUGGCGGACGGGUGAGUAAUGAUUGGGAAUCUGGCUUAUGGAGGGGGAUAACGACGGGAAACUGUCGCUAAUACCGCGUACCAUAGGAUGAGGCCAAGGGGGAUUAGGUAGUUGGUGGGGUAAAGGCCUACCAAGGUGACGAUAGCUAGCUGGUCUGAGAGGAUGACCAGCCACACCGGGACUGAGACACGGCCCGGACGCCUACGGGAGGCAGCAGUGGGGAAUAUUGCGCAAUGGGGGCAACCCUGACGCAGCCAUGCCGCGUGUGUGAAGAAGGCCUUCGGGUUGUAAAGCACUUUCAGCGGGGAGGCGUUACCCGCAGAAGAAGCACCGGCUAACUCCGUGCCAGCAGCCGCGGUAAUAC